AUGAUUCCUUCUGCAGACACACUUGCUGAAGCCUUAGCUGCCCGAAAGGGUGCAUGCCGUGACUAUAAAGAAGGGCGUUGCUUAAAAGCUAGUCGUUGAAAUUCAACGGCAACACUGUCAAAUUGCGGGAAAACCCUUAGAGCUCCAGACUACGGCGGCCGCCUUGAAAGAGGUGGUGCAGCAGCAGGGUAAUGACCUAGCGGAUCGUAAUAACGUCUGAGAUUGGGUAAUCUGCAGCCAAGCGCUUCGUUUUUUAAAUCAGAAACAUGCGUGCUGUUCACAGGCCAAAUGGUAGUGGGUGGAGCAUUCUGCUCUGCUUAAGAUAUGGUCGGUCCCAUGAUGAAAGUCAAGGGUUAAGUUGUCUGCUAGAAGAAAGUUAAAAAUCACGUUCUGUAGGUGAACCUGCAGAAGGAUCAUUAGAGAAUUGCAUAGGAGCACCACUCUGUGGGCUCCAAACCUUUCCUAUCUUCCACAUACACCUGUGCAUGCAUGAUCGUGUUGGCUGCUGUCGCCUAGCGGCUCUGGCUGAUGCGGUUGUCUUUUUCACUUAACUCUAUGUCAAUGGAUGUAAACAAACCGAGCUAUACGCUCAAAUGAAAGUAAAACUUUCGACAACGGAUCUCUUGGUUCUCCCAUCGAUGAAGAACGCAGCGAAAUGCGAUAAGUAAUGUGAAUUGCAGAAUUCAGUGAAUCAUCGAAUCUUUGAACGCACCUUGCGCUCUUGGGUAAUCCCAAGAGCAUGCCUGUUUGAGUGUCAUGAAUCUCUCACAAAGCAAGUUUUUUAACAAAAGCUUUUGCGGCGUGGAUCUGAGCGUUUGCCUGCGAUAAGCCUGGGCUCGCUUGAAAUGGAGUAGCGAGUUUGUAUGAAUGCAAACCUUGCCGUUCAUCGUUAUGGUUUCCUUCGAUGAGUAAGCGGCUUGGUGGAACGUUUAUAAUAUAAGACUUGCUUCCAAUCGCGUUGUAAGGACGCAACUUUUUAUUCAUCUG
rnacentral:misc_RNA from 1 species